UACGUAGGGGGCUAGCGUUAUCCGGAAUUACUGGGCGUAAAGGGUGCGUAGGUGGUUUCUUAAGUCAGAGGUGAAAGGCUACGGCUCAACCGUAGUAAGCCUUUGAAACUGGGAAACUUGAGUGCAGGAGAGGAGAGUGGAAUUCCUAGUGUAGCGGUGAAAUGCGUAGAUAUUAGGAGGAACACCAGUUGCGAAGGCGGCACUCUGGGCCGUGACUGACGCUGAGGAGCGAAAGCGUGGGUAGCAAACAGG
rnacentral:rRNA from 1 species